UACGUAGGGUGCAAGCGUUGUCCGGAAUUACUGGGCGUAAAGGGCUCGUAGGCGGCCAACUAAGUCAUACGUGAAAUCCCUCAGCUUAACUGGGGAACUGCGUGUGAUACUGGAUGGCUUGGAUUUGGGAGAGGGAUGCGGAAUUCCAGGUGUAGCGGUGAAAUGCGUAGAUAUCUGGAGGAACACCGGUGGCGAAGGCGGCUACCUGGACCGGUUCUGACGCUGAUGCGCGAAAGCGUGGGUAGCAAACAGG
rnacentral:rRNA from 1 species